rnacentral:misc_RNA from 1 species
UAGUGACUGCCAGGGAGCCAUCCCA